AUUGAACGCUGGCGGCAGGCUUAACACAUGCAAGUCGAACGAUGACUCUCUAGCUUGCUAGAGAAGAUUAGUGGCGGACGGGUGAGUAACAUUUAGGAAUCCACCUAGUAGUGGGGGAUAGCUCGGGGAAACUCGAAUUAAUACCGCAUACGACCUACGGGUGAAAGGGGGCGCAAGCUCUUGCUAUUAGAUGAGCCUAAAUCAGAUUAGCUAGUUGGUGGGGUAAAGGCCCACCAAGGCGACGAUCUGUAACUGGUCUGAGAGGAUGAUCAGUCACACCGGAACUGAGACACGGUCCGGACUCCUACGGGAGGCAGCAGUGGGGAAUAUUGGACAAUGGGGGCAACCCUGAUCCAGCCAUGCCGCGUGUGUGAAGAAGGCCUUUUGGUUGUAAAGCACUUUAAGCAGGGAGGAGAGGCUAAUGGUUAAUACCCAUUAGAUUAGACGUUACCUGCAGAAUAAGCACCGGCUAACUCUGUGCCAGCAGCCGCGGUAAUACAGAGGGUGCGAGCGUUAAUCGGAAUUACUGGGCGUACAGCGAGUGUAGGUGGCUCAUUAAGUCACAUGUGAAAUCCCCGGGCUUAACCUGGGAACUGCAUGUGAUACUGGUGGUGCUAGAAUAUGUGAGAGGGAAGUAGAAUUCCAGGUGUAGCGGUGAAAUGCGUAGAGAUCUGGAGGAAUACCGAUGGCGAAGGCAGCUUCCUGGCAUAAUAUUGACACUGAGAUUCGAAAGCGUGGGUAGCAAACAGGAUUAGAUACCCUGGUAGUCCACGCCGUAAACGAUGUCUACUAGCCGUUGGGGUCCUUGAGACUUUAGUGGCGCAGUUAACGCGAUAAGUAGACCGCCUGGGGAGUACGGCCGCAAGGUUAAAACUCAAAUGAAUUGACGGGGGCCCGCACAAGCGGUGGAGCAUGUGGUUUAAUUCGAUGCAACGCGAAGAACCUUACCUGGUCUUGACAUAGUGAGAAUCUCUCAGAGAUGAGAGAGUGCCUUCGGGAACUCACAUACAGGUGCUGCAUGGCUGUCGUCAGCUCGUGUCGUGAGAUGUUGGGUUAAGUCCCGCAACGAGCGCAACCCUUUUCCUUAUUUGCCAGCGGGUUAAGCCGGGAACUUUAAGGAUACUGCCAGUGACAAACUGGAGGAAGGCGGGGACGACGUCAAGUCAUCAUGGCCCUUACGACCAGGGCUACACACGUGCUACAAUGGUAGGUACAGAGGGUUGCUACACAGCGAUGUGAUGCUAAUCUCAAAAAGCCUAUCGUAGUCCGGAUUGGAGUCUGCAACUCGACUCCAUGAAGUCGGAAUCGCUAGUAAUCGCGGAUCAGAAUGCCGCGGUGAAUACGUUCCCGGGCCU
rnacentral:rRNA from 1 species